CCUGAACCGUCCCGAUGCGAUUGCGCAUUGAUACAUGCGUCUCGUCGCUUCUCGGCCUCGCUUCGUGACGUGAUCGCUCCCCACCACUAUUACCAAUCAUCGGCCUGGCCAAUCGUGAUCCAACAACCCGUACACACUGAUGGACAUUGGUGGGGAUACCGUAGAAAAGUAGUGCGGCCAGCAGGAACGUAUUUAUUAAAGGCGCGUGUCCAGAGGACGGUCACCUCAAAGUGUCUCUGAACCUUCGAACCAGUGUACUUGCUGUGCCGAACUUCGUGCAAAAGGGUAUUAGUAUUGCCGCGUUCAAAUGAUACGUCCCUGCGGUCCAUAAUUGCGCAUGCGCGUACCCGUACGCAUGAAAAGGCUACUCGACUAAUCGCAUUGGAUUCCCCGGCCACGCUUUCCGCUCUUCGUUUCUUCGUGUUACUUAGUGAACACCUUUACGUUCUUUUCCGAAUUCCUGUCAUUUUGUGGUUACUCGAACGUCACGCGAUAGCUUCGGAUUUUGCGCAUUAGUUAUAGUACAUGUUAAAAACAUCCUGCUGGGUGUACAAAAUUUCUGCGCAUCGAUACGUUCGUGCAACGUCAACCUAACCCCAAUAAGUGCAGGAAUCGCGCACCUGACAUUCCGUUACGAUGUAUAAGGCUUUCCUCCAGGUAUCCGUGGUGCUACAAGCCUGUUUUCCUUUCUCUUUCUUGUUUUAAUAUACACUACAUACUCAUUUUCAUCUCCUACUACACGAUUGUAAUAAUUUUUCGUUAAUUGGUUAUGAUUCAACUUCAUACAGAUGUUGGAACUCUGUUACUUUGAUUGCAUAAAUAUUAAUAAAUAAAUCGAUUCAGAAAACGGCUACAAUAUUUUUUUACUGUUUCAACUUAGUAUUUGAACAACAUAUUUUGAUUCGUUAAUAAAUAGUAGUAAAACGUAAUUAGAAAUGCGGCUACUAAUAUAUGGAAUGUUUAAACGAUUUUCCGUUCAAUACUAAAAUAGUUGUUGGAAGAUUUCAUUAAACAAAAAAUAUAUUGUUACAUCUUGGUUUAAUUCGUUAUACUCGUGCGUAUAAUUCAAAUAUAUUACUUUUGUAUUUUAUAAUAUUUCGUAUGUAAUAUAGACA